rnacentral:rRNA from 1 species
AGAGUUUGAUCAUGGCUCAGGAUGAACGCUAGCGAUAGGCCUAAUACAUGCAAGUCGAGGGGCAGCACAUGAGUAGCAAUACGAUGGUGGCGACCGGCGCACGGGUGAGUAACACGUAUGCAACCUACCUCUAACAGGGGGAUAACCCGUUGAAAGACGGACUAAUACCCCAUAAUACAGGGGCUCCGCAUGGAGAUAUUUGUUAAAGAUUUUAUCGGUUAGAGAUGGGCAUGCGUUCCAUUAGCUAGUUGGUGAGGUAGCGGCUCACCAAGGCGACGAUGGAUAGGGGAACUGAGAGGUUUAUCCCCCACACUGGAACUGAGACACGGUCCAGACUCCUACGGGAGGCAGCAGUGAGGAAUAUUGGUCAAUGGAGGCAACUCUGAACCAGCCAAGUCGCGUGAAGGAUGAAGGUCUUAUGGAUUGUAAACUUCUUUUGCAGGGGAAUAAAUAGCGGUACGUGUACCGUUUUGCAUGUACCCUGCGAAUAAGGAUCGGCUAACUCCGUGCCAGCAGCCGCGGUAAUACGGAGGAUCCGAGCGUUAUCCGGAUUUAUUGGGUUUAAAGGGUGCGUAGGCGGGAUAUUAAGUCAGCGGUGAAAGUUUUCGGCUCAACCUUAAAAUUGCCGUUGAAACUGUUAUUCUUGAGUGCAGUAGAGGUAGGCGGAAUUCGUUGUGUAGCGGUGAAAUGCGUAGAUAUAACGAGGAACUCCGAUUGCGUAGGCAGCUUACUAUAUUGCUACUGACGCUGAGGCACGAAAGUGUGGGUAUCAAACAGGAUUAGAUACCCUGGUAGUCCACACAGUAAACGAUGAAUACUAGCUGUUUGCGAUAUAUUGUAAGCGGCCGAGCGAAAGCAUUAAAGUAUUCCACCUGGGGAGUACGUCGGCAACGAUGAAACUCAAAGGAAUUGACGG